ACGGAAGGCAGCAGUGGGGGAUAUUGCACAGUGGGGGAAACCCUGAUGCAGCGACGCCGCGUGAGUGAAGAAGUAUUUCGGUAUGUAAAGCUCUUUAAGCUGGAAAGAUAAUGACGGUACCAGCAGAAUAAGCCCCGGCUAACUACGUGCCAGCAGCCGCGGUAAUACGUAGGGGGCAAGCGUUAUCCGGAUUUACUGGGUGUAAAGGGAGCGUAGACGGUAAAGCAAGUCUGAAGUGAAAUCAUAGGGCUUAACCCUGUAAUUGCUUUGGAAACUGUUUAACUAGAGUGCCGGAUGGGUAGGCGGAAUUCCUGGUGUAGCGGUGAAAUGCGUAGAUAUCAGGAAGAACACCGGUGGCGAAGGCGGCCUGCUGGACGGUAACUGACGUUGAGGCUCGAAAGCGUGGGGAGCAAACAGGAUUAGAUACCCUGGUA
rnacentral:rRNA from 1 species